rnacentral:rRNA from 1 species
GACGAACGCUGGCGGCGUGCUUAACACAUGCAAGUCGAACGAUGAAGCCUGUAACUUGUUGUGGGUGGAUUAGUGGCGAACGGGUGAGUAAUACGUGAGUAACCUGCCCUCCUUUUUGGGAUAAGCCUUGGAAACGGGGUCUAAUACCGGAUAUUCUGGCAUGCUCGCAUGGGUGUGUUGGGAAAGCUUUAUGUGAAGGGGGAUGGGCUCGCGGCCUAUCAGCUUGUUGGUGGGGUGAUGGCCUACCAAGGCGGUGACGGGUAGCCGGCCUGAGAGGGUGACCGGCCACAUUGGGACUGAGAUACGGCCCAGACUCCUACGGGAGGCAGCAGUGGGGGAUAUUGCACAAUGGGCGAAAGCCUGAUGCAGCGACGCCGCGUGGGGGAUGAAGGCUUUCGGGUUGUAAACCUCUUUCGCUAUCGAACAAGGCUCAUUUUUUGGUGGGUUGAGGGUAGGUGGAGAAGAAGCGCCGGCUAACUACGUGCCAGC